UCGAACUGAAGAGUUUGAUCCUGGCUCAGAUUGAACGCUGGCGGUAUGCCUUACACAUGCAAGUCGAACGGUAGAGGGGCAACCCUUGAGAGUGGCGAACGGGUGAGUAAUACAUCGGAACGUGCCCAGUCGUGGGGGAUAACGUAGCGAAAGCUACGCUAAUACCGCAUACGACCUGAGGGUGAAAGCGGGGGAUCGCAAGACCUCGCG
rnacentral:rRNA from 1 species